ACAUCAAAAAGCAGAGGGAAUCAAAAAAGAAGAAAGAGAGAAAAGAAGAAAACUUAUAUGAAACACAACUGUGGAGGAAAUAAUAGUUUUGUUUUGUUUUUGUUUUUUCUUUUUUUU
rnacentral:ribozyme from 13 species